rnacentral:rRNA from 1 species
GUGCCAGCAGCCGCGGUAAUACAGAGGGUGCGAGCGUUGUCCGGAAUUACUGGGCGUAAAGGGCGCGUAGGCGGUUCAAUAAGUAGGAGGUGAAAUCUCACGGCUCAACCGGGAGGCUGCCUUCUAGACUGUUGGACUUGAGCACGGUAGAGGCAGAUGGAAUUCCCGGUGUAGCGGUGGAAUGCGUAGAGAUCGGGAAGAACACCAGUGGCGAAGGCGGUCUGCUGGGCCGUUGCUGACGCUGAGGCGCGACAGCGUGGGGAGCAAACAGGAUUAGAAACCCCGGUAGUCC